rnacentral:lncRNA from 8 species
AUGCUGCUCACUCCUGCAUCGCCACAGAAACCAAGGUAAAGCAACACAACACUCCUCACCUCAACUCACCACCAAAUAGACAGGAGUGCAAUUACCUGUUGUUUUCUAUUAAAAAAAAUCUUCAAAAGUGAGUAAUCAAGCAGAAUAUAUGGCACAAGUUCAAGUACUGUGCUCCAUGAGGAUCACAAAAAGAAACACUCACCCACAUGUCUAGUGUUCCUAGUAGUCCCUGAGACUGUGCCUCGGAAUAGUAGUCCCUGAGACUGUGCCUCGGAAUAGUAGUCCCUGAGACUGUGCCUCGGAAUAGUAGUCCCUGAGACUGUGCCUCGGAAUAGUAGUCCCUGAGACUGUGCCUCGGAAUAGUAGUCCCUGAGACUGUGCCUCGGAAUAGUAGUCCCUGAGACUGUGCCUCAGACUAGUAGUCCCUGAGACUGUGCCUCAGACUUGUAGUCCCUGAGACUGUGCCUCAGACUUGUAGUCCCUGAGACUGUGCCUCGGAAUAUUAGUCCCUGAGACUGUGCCUCAGACUAGUAGUCCCUGAGACUGUGCCUCAGACUUGUAGUCCCUGAGACUGUGCCUCAGACUUGUAGUCCCUGAGACUGUGCCUCGGAAUAGUAGUUCCUGGGCCUGUGACUGCUGUGGUUUUUCUCCCUGAACAGCAGCAGAUGCAGAGAGUCCUAGAGGUCCUCUGGGAUGUGUUAUGACAGAGGCUGUAACGCCAGGAAGACUAUCCACUCUUCACCUGUCCCCUCGCCCCCGAAAGCAGACGUGGCUACUGCCACCACCCUGCCGCGUCUGGGCUCUGACAGGAAGUGUUUGACAGGAGGAACAGGGAUUUUACAGUAAUGACAGAUGGCCCAGGUGAGAGGAAAAAUAAUACAACAACCUGACAAACAAAGGAAACCACCAUCAGGCGUUGUAUGUCUUUGUCUCAACCAAAGUGAAGCCACAGGUGUGUAACAAGAACAGAUGCAUUCUGGACACUUCCUGACUCCCACUGCCAAGCAACACUGUAAGGACAGAUAGACCUGCUUAAGUGAGCCCUUAUCUUUGUCUUGUGAAGGCGAGUCGUGUGCCGGGUGGUGAACUAAGAGCAUUUGGGAAAGGAAGGAUAG